rnacentral:lncRNA from 1 species
UUAUGUAUUCAGGUAUAUUGGCGAAGUGAUACGUGUGUUGUAAUAACUGGAAAAAGAGAAGAGAAAAAAAGGGAGAGGGAAGGGAAAAACGACGUCGUUUUGCAGAGGGGAAAAAACGGCGUCGUUUUGGAAAAGAAAAAACGACGUCGUUUUGCAAGGGGGAAAACGACGCCGUUUUGAGGAAAAACUGUGAUGAUUUAAGUAGGGGGCGGGGGAAGGAAGAGAGGAGAAGAGGAAAGAAAAGAAAAGAAAAAAAGAGGGAAGAAAGAGAGCAGAGGAAGAAGGGGAGCGGGAGAGAGAGAGAAGAGGAAGGAAGGUUCCAGAAGGAGGGAGAAAGGAAGUAGAGCGGAGAGAAGAGUAGAUCACGGACGGUGAUAGCAGAUUCGGCCGAAAGAGGGAAAAAUAGAAAUGGGAGGUACGGUACCAAACUCUAAAUGUGUGUGUUGAUU